GUUUUGGCCGCUUGUAGAACCUCUUCUGGAGAAAGAGUCGUCACUGCAGAGGAACACUGGCUCCUGGUUAAAAUGUAACCCGUCAGCGGAGGCCCGAGCCUGCGCACUGAGGGCGGAAGGAAGAAGAAAAUUGACAAGAGGAUUUUGGAGAGUGAACGUGUGCCUGCCAGGCACUGACCCUGCUCCUGCAGGGUGGUCGGGGGGCAAACACGGCCCCCCUUGGCUGCAGGGCAAACUUUAUUUUGGGGGUGGGUGGAGAUAAGGGAAAGGAGUUACUUUUGACAAGAGGUUUAAGUCAAACACCAGCCAGAUCCAAAAGGAGAGAGAUGAUUGUGUGUGGAAAAAAAUAUAUGUAGGAGCUGCCUUAUAGCAGUAAGGCACGGAGUUUCUGUGAGCAGACACAGCACCAAAGUGACAUGCAUCAUGGUGCUGGAAUAGCUGCUGUAUUUGGAACACAGCUGUGGCUGGAGGACAAUGGGAACACUUUCAGGAUGUCCUCAAAGCAUCCCUGAAGAGAUCAAAUAUCCCCAUCAACUCAUGGGAAAACCUGAGCCUGUGACGAACCAAAAUGGAGAAUAUUCAUUUGAGAAGGCACCAAACACAUCGAGAGACUUUGCUUAGAAGGUGCAGAGCUGAAGUUGAAGUAUGAGAGGAAGCACACAAACCUCUGAACAAGUUGUCCUCCCAAACCUUUAGUGCCACCUGCCAUAUGCAUGGCAGGCUGCAGAUAACUUAUCAGCUAUCUCAGAUCCCAUCAAAACAGAGUGGAAGCAAGUAACCCUCAGCGCUGAGGAACUGCCUAAUGAGAAGAAGGAGAUGCUGGUACAUCACCAGUCUCCAUCAGUGUGUGCCCAGGUCUUCUCUGGAAUAAAUCAAAAGUGAGAGCAGACCCAUGUCACUGAAGGAAAUCAUGAGGAGUAUAUCCUUGAAGAUCAUGGAACACCAAGUGCAGCAUUCCUGGGACCCAGGCUCCAAAGUAAUAGUGCCCUUGUAAGCAGUAACUCAAUACAGAACUUUGUUUCUUUUUUUUUGAAUAUGAAUUAGAAGCUUGGGGAAUAUGUGACUUACUAGUUAUAACCCUGCACAAUAGCUCUGACAUUCUGUUCAGUCAGCAGCUGCCAGAGUGAAAUUCAUGAGAUUGCCUGUGACCUAUUAAAGUCAUUUCUCUUAAGGUCAUUGCCAUUUUGUUACAACACCUUUCUGAAAUCUAUACGAUUCAGAAACUGUACUAUAUGCACAUGCAUUAUGUGCGUAUUUGUAAUUAGAAUAUUCCCUUCCAUACUUACCUUGCAACAGAGUAAGACAUUAAACUACACGUGAAGGAUAAGGAAGGCUGAGUUUGUGCCCUAAAGGGCAUAAGUGAAGAAUGACAGAGUAAGGACUUCCAAAAGAAUUUUAAAUUGCACAGAUUUUACUGCAACUAACAACGGUUGAAGCCUUUUAUGUCAAAGAAACACACUACAUCAUCCAUCCAGCCCACAGUUAGUGUAACAAAGAGAAAUGUGUUAUCCCUGAGACUUUCAAUAGUCUUGAGAAUGCAAUGAAAUGUGGUUACUCAAAUGACUGAAGUACUUUCAUUCCUUAUGUUUCCUCCUUGUAAACUAAAAAAUUCCUGGUGGUAAUAUAUCGUGAAAGUGAAAUGAUGCAGUAAGUCAUAUUGCUCGUGUCCCAGAAUCCAUAAUUUAUAACUGACUGCACUCUAAAGGUAUCCACACAUCGUAAAACACUUUGGGAUUUCCUGAAAAUGUGAUAAAGCACGAUAUAAAUCUUUCUCUCCCCUGCAGUUGAUGACAAAUCCAAAGAUAAAGCUGACCACUUUUUCUGUUCACAAUUCACUCCAAAAUGUAAUCCACUCAAGAAGAAAAUAGGAUCAGUGUGGUGUGAGAAAGUGCUCAAGUUUGUUAAUAAAAUAUCAAUAUUCCA